UCAGUUUACAGAUUGGCUUUAUUAUUUUGUUUGGCAGAAGCUUAUCUUUUACAGAAAGCAAAAUAUCCAUGUGGUUUUAUCUUGUCCCUUCUUGAAAUGGUAUGAAAAAUGUGAUGAAUAUAAUUGAUACUAUUUGUAUUCUUAAGAAUCUCAAUGUGAUCCUUUGGUGGUCUCUACUGUCCUUUCUCAGGGUCAGCCUAUUACAGAUUGAGUACUUUACCAGCUGUCCUUCAGCGUUAUCUACUGAAGCAGCAAUACACUGCUUAACUCAACAGGUUUUCUCUUUUAGAGUAUUGGCGUCCUGGAGAGGUCAGGCUGUGAUAAGCAUACUCCCCCUUCAUUGGGCAACCUCACAUUAAUUAAUAUUUCAACUUUCAGUAACUGUCCUGGGAUGUGUCCUAGUUGUGCAAAUUAGACGCUAGUUAAUAUACAUCUAAGGUACCCACUUACUGUAUUUAGCUAAAACAUAAUUUCUACAUUUACUUUCAGUCUGUCCACCUAAAAAUGAAUUUACAUUUUUUACAUGCAUGUGUCUCUAGACUGCCAUGAUAGCCAUUACCCAUUUGAUUCCUGACUCCACGGAGUCAUGCUGGAGAGGUGUUCCAAAGUCUAGACAACAGGUUUUAAAUAUUUUUUGUGCAAUAUCUGUAUUUCAGUAGAAUCUUUUGUAUUUACAUUUACAUAGCACCUUUCAUCCAAAAAUUUCAACAUUAUUUAACUUUACAGCAUUAUUUGGUGGCAAAACCUAAAAGUUCAUGGUGCACUGAGUUGACUAAGUUCCAAGUUCAACUUCUGGUCAACUAAAUAAGUUGACUGUUUCCUUUUUAUUGAUGGUCUUUCAGAAAGUAGAUUAUAAACACAACACUGCUACUACAGAGAGACAGACAGAAAGAGAUAGGAGAGAGACUGACUUUUCUCAUGGCUACUGAGUUAGUGAUAAAAUAGUUUAUAAACCACACACUGUGGAAUAUGGAAUUAUUCCAAAAAGUUCUUUAGAGCUGAUAAUGAGAGCCUAAGAAGUAUACUGUUAAAUUAAAAAAUAGUAUUUCAGACUGCAAAGAUUAUUCUAAAAUUUGUUAAAUAAUGAAUUUGUAUUAAUGAGCAUCAAUGCAUUUUUUGUUUCAUAAGAAAAUAAAACUGUGAUAUAAAAUUGGAACUACUAAAAAUUGAUGUUUCCCUGGGUUAACUAAAUCUACUUUUUUUUGUGCUUCCAAAUGUUUAAAGGUAACAAAUGCAUACAAAUCUUUCAAAAGUACCAAUAACAGUUAUCAUUUUUUAAUGUAUUAUUAUAAAGGACAAAAACAGAAAAAUUUUUAUUAAUAAAUGAUAACCUUAAUAUUGAAUUCCUGGCAAAAUGCAGAUCACAGUAAAUUAUUUACAUUAUUUUUGCCAUAAGAAAACUUAAGCAACAGUCAGCUCUCAAGUUAAAAAAA